rnacentral:rRNA from 1 species
UACGUAGGGGGCUAGCGUUGUCCGGAAUCAUUGGGCGUAAAGAGCGUGUAGGCGGUCCGGUAAGUCCGCUGUGAAAGUCGGGGGCUCAACCCUCGAAUGCCGGUGGAUACUGUCGGGCUAGAGUGCGGAAGAGGCGAGUGGAAUUCCUGGUGUAGCGGUGAAAUGCGCAGAUAUCAGGAGGAACACCGAUGGCGAAGGCAGGUCUCUGGGCCACUACUGACGCUGGAGAAGCGAAAGCAUGGGGAGCGAACAGG